ensembl:lncRNA
CAAAUCUCAACGUGGAUGAAAAUCACUAAGGACUGUUUCCAGCACCCUGUUAAAUAUCAUAGAAUUAAAACAGCUCUGAAAACAAAACGAGAUUCACACAAGCGCUAAUAAAUGUACCUAAUAAAGUGUCCAGUGAGUGUAGUUUCCUUAGCAGUGUCAUUUAAAGAAGGCAGUUAUGUUUACUAACCCUUUCACUUUGGCCUCUGCUGAGCCAAACGUUUUCAGGAAUGCAUUUCUUUUUACAAGUUUCUAAUAAGACCAGACAAUGAUAAGGGGGAAAACUGAGUGCUGCAGCAUGCUUAGGACAGCUAAAGGGGGAAAUAUUUGUGGCAGCAGUGAGCAGAUUUUAAAUGCACGAGAAUCAAUAAAAAAGGUGGCUGCUGAAGCACAGUCUUUGCAUAAGAGUGGAACACUUCACAACAGCAGUGAUCUAAAGGUCUAUAUUCAUUUGUAAUACUGCACCUACCUGACCAAGAAGUAUGAAUAUGGAGUCAAAUCAUUCAUUCUCAACUGACCUAUUUUUGAUUUUAUUUUUUGCUGCAAAGGGGGUAAAUAAAUACUAAACAGCCAUCAGCCAAUUAACACAGAAGGCAGACAUCAAAUCCAGAAGCGUCAGUGGUUCAAAUUAAGCACUGCGACAAGCAUCUCCAGGCGCAGGAAAAAAAAAAAAAAAAAAAAAAAAAAAACAGACCAGGAAGAUGAGUGAAAAAGAGUAAUCUCCCCGACAUAUUCCUAAUAAUCCACCUCCCCUGUGCCGCUCCCCUCGAGCUCACCCAAUCAUAAAGUGUCAACACUGACCUACAAAAAGGGACUCCUGUCAAGGCUUACAUGCUUGAAAACAUCAAUCACGGCAGACAAAGAGGGUACAUUGAAUUAUGCAGCAUUAACCUUCGGGGCUUGCAUAUAAAGACCACAGAUUUAUUUAUGCUUGUGUGUUAAGAGCCUCUGCACUGUUCCUUACAAAGUGCUGCCUGCCAAAUUGAUGAACCUGCACCUCAGCCCUCAGUUGGAGUCCAGCAUCUUUGAUUAAUGAGUGCAAACUUGUGGAAAGGGCAAGAAUAGGAGAGACAGGGUGAAAAUGGGUGAAACACAAAUAUUAUAAGACCCUGGUUGUUGUUUUUUUUUUC